AUACGGAGGGUGCAAGCGUUACUCGGAAUCACUGGGCGUAAAGCGCGCGCAGGCGGCCAUUUAAGUUGGAUGUGAAAGCCUACGGCUCAACCGUAGAACUGCAUCCAAAACUAUUUAGCUAGAGUGUGAGAGAGGAAGAUGGAAUUAGUUGUGUAGGGGUAAAAUCCGUAGAGAUAACUAGGAAUACCAAAAGCGAAGGCAAUCUUCUGGAACACUACUGACGCUGAGGCGCGAAAGCGUGGGGAGCAAACGGGAUUAGAAACCCUAGUAGUCC
rnacentral:rRNA from 1 species